CGGUGUUUUGGGCGACUAAAAAUCAGUUGGUAGUGUUUGUCGUCAAUGGAGAAACUGCACUACAAGCCAGCAGCGGCAGCUAAGAUCGUUAAAACGUGUUGUGUGCUUGACAAUAUAGCUAACAAAGCGAAUUGUGAACUGCCUCCGCUGAACCGACACGAAGAACAGGAGCAGCAGCAGGAGCAGAGAUUAGCGGCGGAGUUUGACGCCCGUCAGCAGAAUGCUGAUAUUUAUUUGGCAAUGGCUCCUGACAGGUGUUGGCUAAACAAAGAGCUGCAGCUGGGUCGCGCUGCUCGUCAAGCGCUUGUCCGGCAGUUAGCAAAUUAUUGAUUCUUCAUCGGACCAAGGCCGAUUUGUCCAGGACCAAUUUUCGGAUCUCCUGGGCUUCCUGGAACAAGGACUAGUGAUUGUUUCGAGGAGCUGUCAUGGUGUUGGCUCUUGAUAUUUUAUCGUGAAACGCAGAUUUAAUGAUGAAGGCGCGUCGGAACCCAAACGUCAAGAAUCGCCGACGUUCACAGAAGCAGCUACAAUGAGCGGAGAAUCUGAGAGCCAGGAAUGCGGAGCACCUUGCUACUACUAAAAUGGAGAACCCGGACCUGUUAGCGACAUGGAACUGACCAGGACCGUCGUGGGCUCCUCAUGUGCCACCCCCGGAUACCUUUUCUGAUUGUGGUGUUUACAGUACAGUAGUGUACAUAUUCAUGAAAAAAAAAUUGUAGGUACUUUUUUUACA
rnacentral:misc_RNA from 1 species